CGCCGCGGUUAAACGAGGUGCCCAAGUUGAUUGAUAUCGGCGUAAAGAGUGGUUAAUUAAUAAUAAACUAAAGCCGAACACCCUCAAGGCUGUUGUACGCAACCGAGGGCAGGAAGAUCUUCAACGAAAGUGGCUUUAACACAAAUGAACCCACGAAAGCUAGGGGA
rnacentral:rRNA from 13 species